rnacentral:lncRNA from 1 species
CCAUCCUGUACUCAAGUAUUAAUUGCCCUAUUUUCUGCAUUAACUUUUAAGGUUUUUAAACGUUUUAAAGAAGGAACUAAGUAAAAUUCUUUGGAAUCCUUGAAGGGUUUUAAGCAUUUAAAAUGUUUAUGGUUAUCAGUAUCGAUUCAGACUAAAUUUCUAUAAAGUUAUCAAAGAAGAAUAUAAAUUUAGAAUACAUAAGUCAUAAUAUGAUUUUAGAACAAUACUGUUUCAGCCUUUCUAUUUUAGUUGCUAACUGUAUUUGGGUAGGUCUCCCAAAUAAGGAGAGAAGAGAGGAAUUGCCAGGCCUUCCAGAUAAGAUUUCCAGUAUUCUAAACUAUGGAAAUGUUAGAGAAACUUGCAAAUUCUAGCAGGCCAGAGACAUUGAAUGUUUUUUUUCUUAUUAAGAAAUAAUACUUUAAAAUGCAGAACAAUUUUGACUUCAGUGAUCUUUGAAUCCAGCUCAAGAGUAGGUAUGCAGAACCACUCCACCACAGUGCCUUGAAGGAACUGGUCUUCUAGAAGGGAGUAUGGUGUAUAUGUAAGUCCACACCAAGGGCAGGGAAGUGGGGCUGUGGGAGAGUAAAGACAUCUCAAUCCGACCUAAUACAGAUUUAUGAAGGAGCAGUAGAUGGAAGACUAAGGGGGGAAGAGAAAAGGAAGCAGGAAGAAAAGAGGCCUGUAUAUUGGGGUUAUGCUGUAUUGGGGUCCAAAAUACAUUGGACAGGUUUUCUCUUCAGGGCAUUUGAUUAAAGGGUGGUAGGUGUGGGUAUGGGUGUGGGGGUAUAUGUGUGUGUGUGUGUGUGUCUGACUGUUGGUGAAAGUACUUAAUGCAAAAUAAUUCCUUUCCAGAUCUCUCUGGCAUGAAGAACAUGGAACAAGGUAUAACAGUUAAUAAUAGUUGUGUUUAAAAUUAGUGUGAAGUAGUAUUCGAUUGGAAUUCUGUAUAGCAUAUAUUAUUUCACCUAAGGCAUUAAAGAUGAUUACAGUCAUUUACUACUAAAAAUGUGGUCUGAGGACCUAC